CCUACGGGCGGCAGCAGUGGGGAAUAUUGCACAAUGGGGGAAACCCUGAUGCAGCGACGCCGCGUGAGUGAAGAAGUAUUUCGGUAUGUAAAGCUCUAUCAGCAGGGAAGCAAAUGACGGUACCUGAAUAAGAAGCCCCGGCUAACUACGUGGCAGCAGCCGCGGUAAUACGUAGGGGGCAAGCGUUAUCCGGAUUUACUGGGUGUAAAGGGAGCGUAGACGGCAGCACAAGUCUGGAGUGAAAUGCCGGGGCUGAACCCCGGAACUGCUUUGGAAAAGGUGCAGCUAGAGUGCAGGAGAGGUAAGUGGAAUGCCUGGUGUAGCGGUGAAAUGCGUAGAUAUUAGGAGGAACACCAGUGGCGAAGGCAGCUUACUGGACUGUAACUGACGUUGAGGCUCGAAAGCGUGGGGAGCGAACAGGAUUAGAUACCCUGGUAGUC
rnacentral:rRNA from 1 species